rnacentral:rRNA from 1 species
UACGUAGGGUGCGAGCGUUAAUCGGAAUUACUGGGCGUAAAGCGUGCGUAGGCGGUUCGUUAAGUCAGCUGUGAAAGCCCCGGGCUCAACCUGGGAACUGCGGUUGAAACUGGCGAACUAGAAUCUGGCAGAGGGGGGUGGAAUUCCACGUGUAGCAGUGAAAUGCGUAGAUAUGCGGAGGAACACCGAUGGCGAAGGCAAUCCCCUGGGCCUGCACUGACGCUCAUGCACGAAAGCGUGGGGAGCAAACAGG